UCCUUUUCCUUUUACAUAAAU
rnacentral:piRNA from 1 species